rnacentral:lncRNA from 1 species
GUAAUAAGUUAUUCUUAAAGCUGGGCUGUUUGGUCAAAUAAAUUACUGUUUUGAGAUUAGAAAAGGAAAACAGUUGGUAGAAUUUUCCUUUUCCCGUAUUUAUUCAUUCUUUCUCGAAUUAUUGUUGUGCUAACAUCUCCUCGAAGAAUCUAGUGUUCGCCGAGUACUUCUAAUUUUGUACAAUAAAAUUAGCUAAAUCUCCCUACACCUGGAUUGAAAUUAAUGGAGGCCAUGAAAUUUGGAGCUACCUACCGGACAACAACAAAAUAUUUUGUCGACACUUAAUGUCCUCGUCCCACAUCAAGAAUAUGAAUGCAUACCAACAAUAUUUGACUCAUGAUGAUUCUGACGACUCUAACACCGACCUCUUAAAGACGCUAGUUUCCUCUAAUAUACCUUUUUUCACCGUGGAGAACCUCAUUUUCUCAAAGUUUAUGAAUAAACAUGCUAAUAGAACCGUCCCUAGUAGAAGGAUUCUAGAUAGAUUAAUGGAGGUUGUCAACAAGGAUGUAAAAGAAGUCAAAAAGAAGCUACCCCAAUUGAAACAUAUUAUUUGUGUAGCUCAUGGACUCCAUAACGUGGCUGAACUUGUACGUAAAGAAUUCCCGAAGACAAACGAGCUCAUUUCAGAAAUUAAAAAAAUGCUUUUGAAUACCAGGCUAAGAAAACGGAACUUUACUGCUUCUUUCCAAAUUCCCUUACCUCAAGUACCUAUCGUCACAAGCUAGGGAACUUUGUUGAAAGCAUUUGAUUACUAUUUCAAUAGCUUCGAAGUAAUCAGGGAAUAUUUAAACAACCUAAAUGAGAAAACAGCAACGGUCGUUAAAGCUAAGGAGACUAUAAAUGAUGAGUUUAUUGAUGAAGAAUUGACAAUAAUCAAUCAUAAUCUUAGCCCAAUUACCAAGGUAAUUACCGUUUUAGAAGGAAGACUCCCUUUACUUGUUAGAUUGACUAUUGUCGAACAUUUACGCGUCGAUAUCAAGCUAGAGCCAUUCAAAACAAAAUUAAAUACAUUUUUAGAUGAAAAUCCAGCGUACAGCGAUUUGCGAGACCUAGCAAAUUCUGAGGACACAAAUUACAGAAACCCACCUAUUGUAAAUUGUGACUUAGAGAGGAUUUUCAGCAUAUUGAGAGCCAUUAAUACAAAAAUAAGAUCCUGUUCAUCAGUAAAAAGUGUCAGGACCAAGCUAAUUAUAAAAUGAAAUAUUGAAAUAUUAGAUUUGUAAGAUAAUAUGGUCAAAAACAACAGCAUGAAUGAUCUCAAAGGGGAUUUUAGCUUCAAAUGGCGUGCAAAUAGUUUGUCUAACAUCAGUUUCUUCGCGUAAAGACUUGGGAUUAGCAUAUAGCUAAAUGUUCAUAAUCUCCGACAUAAGGUGUUAGAUAACUGCAGUAAUAUGGUCUAGAACUACAGCAUAAAUGGUGUCAAAGAGGGUCUUAGCUUCAAAUGGCGUACAAAUAGUUUGUGUAAUAUCAGUUUCUUCGGGUUAAGAAUUGGGUAUGCUCCAUGGAUUCCAACAUGUUGAAGUGCAAUUUAUUUAAGAUAAGUAUUAGUCGUUUUAAAUAAUGAACAUAUUAAUUUACUUUUUCCUUUCUUAGCUUUACAAAUUACUUAAGAUGACAAAAAUGAGGAUUUUACAUGGAAUUUGAAGUAUGAAAGGAAAAAGACGGAUUUUAUUUCUACUCAUAAUUAGUAUAUUUUUUUCUGUAUAAAAAUGUCUUAUUAUUUUUGUAUAUUUAUAAUUUACAUUUGUCCCUAAUAAUUUGUUUAAACCAUUUGUAAUAGUUAGUGUCGUUUGUUAUUAUUAAUUUGUUUCACUUUCUGUGCU